rnacentral:ncRNA from 12 species
UGCGAUGAGGCGACGAGCAAUCAGGUGGGUUCGCCCAUUCCGCGCAAGCGGCGAAGUGAUUGCAAAUCAAACGGGACAUACGUGCUUGCACAACCACAGGAUGUGGAUGUUUGAUGGUGACUGCUGUGAACAGU